GACUGCGAGUGAUAAGAUCCGUAGUCGAAAGGGAAACAGCCCAGACCACCAGUUAAGGUCCCCAAAUAUAUGUUAAGUGGAAAAGGAUGUGGGGUUGCUUAGACAACCAGGAUGUUGGCUUAGAAGCAGCCACCAUUGAAAGAGUGCGUAAUAGCUCACUGGUCGAGUGACCCCGCGCCGAAAAUGUACCGGGGCUAAACAUAUUACCGAAACUGUGGAUGAACCUCUUUAGAGGUUCGUGGUAGGAGAGCGUUCUAAGGGCGGUGAAGUCAGACCGGAAGGACUGGUGGAGCGCUUAGAAGUGAGAAUGCCGGUAUGAGUAGCGAAAGAAGGGUGAGAAUCCCUUCCACCGAAUAUCUAAGGUUUCCUGAGGAAGGCUCGUCCGCUCAGGGUUAGUCGGGACCUAAGCCGAGGCCGAUAGGCGUAGGCGAUGGACAACAGGUAGAGAUUCCUGUACCAGUGCUAAUUGUUUAACCGAUGGGGUGACACAGAAGGAUAGGGAAUCGCACGAAUGGAAAUGUGCGUCCAAGCAGUGAGUGUGAGAAGUAGGCAAAUCCGCUUCUCGCGAAGCAUGAGCUGUGAUGGGGAAGGAAAUUAAGUACGGAAGUUCCUGAUUUCACGCUGUCAAGAAAAGCCUCUAGGAAGAGUAGUACUGCCCGUACCGCAAACCGACACAGGUAGAUGAGGAGAGAAUCCUAAGGUGAGCGAGAGAACUCUCGUUAAGGAACUCGGCAAAAUGACCCCGUAACUUCGGGAGAAGGGGUGCUCUAUUAGGGUGCAAGCCCGAGAGAGCCGCAGUGAAUAGGCCCAGGCGACUGUUUAGCAAAAACACAGGUCUCUGCAAAACCGUAAGGUGACGUAUAGGGGCUGACGCCUGCCCGGUGCUGGAAGGUUAAGAGGAGUGCUUAGCUUCGGCGAAGGUACGAAUUGAAGCCCCAGUAAACGGCGGCCGUAACUAUAACGGUCCUAAGGUAGCGAAAUUCCUUGUCGGGUAAGUUCCGACCCGCACGAAAGGCGCAACGAUCUGGGCACUGUCUCAACGAGAGACUCGGUGAAAUUAUAGUACCUGUGAAGAUGCAGGUUACCCGCGACAGGACGGAAAGACCCCGUGGAGCUUUACUGCAACCUGAUAUGGAAUGUUUGUACCGCUUGUACAGGAUAGGUAGGAGCCGAAGAGACGUGUGCGCUAGCAUACGAGGAGGCAAUGGUGGGAUACUACCCUGGCUGUAUGACCAUUCUAACCCGCCACGCUUAGCGCGUGGGGAGACAGUGUCAGGUGGGCAGUUUGACUGGGGCGGUCGCCUCCUAAAGAGUAACGGAGGCGCCCAAAGGUUCCCUCAGAAUGGAUGGAAAUCAUUCGCAGAGUGUAAAGGCACAAGGGAGCUUGACUGCGAGACUGACAAGUCGAGCAGGGACGAAAGUCGGGCUUAGUGAUCCGGUGGUUCCGCAUGGAAGGGCCAUCGCUCAACGGAUAAAAGCUACCCCGGGGAUAACAGGCUUAUCUCCCCCAAGAGUCCACAUCGACGGGGAGGUUUGGCACCUCGAUGUCGGCUCGUCGCAUCCUGGGGCUGUAGUCGGUCCCAAGGGUUGGGCUGUUCGCCCAUUAAAGCGGCACGCGAGCUGGGUUCAGAACGUCGUGAGACAGUUCGGUCCCUAUCCGUCGCGGGCGCAGGAAAUUUGAGAGGAGCUGUCCUUAGUACGAGAGGACCGGGAUGGACACACCGCUGGUGUACCAGUUGUUCCGCCAGGAGCAUCGCUGGGUAGCUAUGUGUGGCAGGGAUAAACGCUGAAAGCAUCUAAGCGUGAAGCCCCCCUCAAGAUGAGAUUUCCCAUUUCUUCGGAAAGUAAGAUCCCUGAAAGAUGAUCAGGUAGAUAGGUUUGGAGUGGAAGUGUAGCGAUACAUGGAGCGGACAAAUACUAAUCGAUCGAGGACUUAACCAAAA
rnacentral:rRNA from 1 species